UACGGAGGAUCCAAGCGUUAUCCGGAUUUAUUGGGGUUUAAAGGGUGCGUAGGCGGCCUAUUAAGUCAGGGGUGAAAGACGGUAGCUUAACUAUCGCAGUGCCUUUGAUACUGAUGGGCUUGAAUGAACUAGAGGUAGGCGGAAUGUGACAAGUAGCGGUGAAAUGCAUAGAUAUGUCACAGAACACCAAUUGCGAAGGCAGCUUACUAUGGUUUUAUUGACGCUGAGGCACGAAAGCGUGGGGAUCAAAACAGG
rnacentral:rRNA from 1 species